AUUGAACGCUGGCGGCAGGCCUAACACAUGCAAGUCGAGCGGAUGAGAGGAGCUUGCUCCUUGAUUCAGCGGCGGACGGGUGAGUAAUGCCUAGGAAUCUGCCUGGUAGUGGGGGACAACGUUUCGAAAGGAACGCUAAUACCGCAUACGUCCUACGGGAGAAAGCAGGGGACCUUCGGGCCUUGCGCUAUCAGAUGAGCCUAGGUCGGAUUAGCUAGUAGGUGGGGUAAUGGCCCACCUAGGCGACGAUCCGUAACUGGUCUGAGAGGAUGAUCAGUCACACUGGAACUGAGACACGGUCCAGACUCCUACGGGAGGCAGCAGUGGGGAAUAUUGGACAAUGGGCGAAAGCCUGAUCCAGCCAUGCCGCGUGUGUGAAGAAGGUCUUCGGAUUGUAAAGCACUUUAAGUUGGGAGGAAGGGCAGUUAGUUAAUACCUGGCUGUUUUGACGUUACCAACAGAAUAAGCACCGGCUAACUUCGUGCCAGCCGCCGCGGUAAAAC
rnacentral:rRNA from 1 species